rnacentral:rRNA from 1 species
UACGUAGGGUGCGAGCGUUGUCCGGAAUUAUUGGGCGUAAAGAGCUUGUAGGCGGUUUGUCGCGUCUGCUGUGAAAAUCCGGGGCUCAACCCCGGACUUGCAGUGGGUACGGGCAGACUAGAGUGUGGUAGGGGAGACUGGAAUUCCUGGUGUAGCGGUGAAAUGCGCAGAUAUCAGGAGGAACACCGAUGGCGAAGGCAGGUCUCUGGGCCACUACUGACGCUGAGACGCGAAAGCGUGGGGAGCGAACAGG